GGGCAGUUACAAAAUUAGUUAAAUUUGCUUGCACUUGCUCGACAAGCAAGGGGUCACUGGUUCGAGUCCAGUAUCGCCCA
rnacentral:tRNA from 1 species